UACGUAGGGUGCGAGCGUUAAUCGGAAUUACUGGGCGUAAAGCGUGCGCAGGCGGUUCGUUGUGUCGGUGGUGAAGCCCCGGGCUUAACCUGGGAAUGGCCAUGGAAACUGGCGAACUGGAGUGUGGCAGAGGGGGUGGAAUUCCGCGGUGUAGCAGUGAAAUGCGUAGAGAUGCGGAGGAACACCGAUGGCGAAGGCAGCCCCCUGGGCUAGCACUGACGCCUCAGGCACGAAAGCGUGGGGAGCAAACAG
rnacentral:rRNA from 1 species